AGCAGCAUGGCUCAGUGGAAAGAGCCCGGGCUUGGGAGUCAGAGGUCAUGGGUUUGAAUCCCAGUUCUGCCA
rnacentral:tRNA from 1 species